GACAGAGGCCUCGAGCGUUAGGCGGAAUCACUGGGCUUAAAGCGUGUGUAGGCGGGCCCGUAAGUGUCUUGUGAAAUCCCCCGGCUCAACCGGGGAACGGCUGGGCAUACUGCGGGUCUUGGGCCGACUAGGGGCAGCCGGAACAAGCGGUGGAGCGGUGAAAUGCGUAGAGAUUAGGAAGAACACCAGUGGCGAAGGCGACUUACUGGACUGUAACUGACGCUGAGGCAUGAAAGCGUGGGGAGCAAACAGG
rnacentral:rRNA from 1 species